rnacentral:piRNA from 1 species
UAGCAAUGAAGCCCUGUGCUCUCACAGAACU